rnacentral:sRNA from 1 species
GGGCUGCCCGCCGCUGUGGCAGGGUUGCUGCUGUUGUUGAACCUGGGUGCCGCCAUGCAGGAUGUGGCCCUGGACGCGCUGGCUGUACAGCUGUUGGAGCCGGCCGAGCUGGGGCCAGGCAACACCGUGCAGGUGGUCGCGUACAAGCUGGGGGCCGCGCUAGCUGGGGGCGCGCUGCUGGCGCUGCUGCCCACCCUCUCGUGGCCGCAACUCUUUCUGCUCCUGGCUGCCACCUACUGGCUGGCCGCGGCCCUGGCCUGGGCUGCACCAGCCCUGCGGCGGCUCCCACAGCAGCCCCCUUGCGAGCAGCGUCCCCACACCGCGCACCUUCUGCGGGACGUGCUAGCCGUGCCGGGGACCCUGUGGACGGCAGGCUUUGUGCUCACCUACAAGCUGGGUGAGCAGGGUGCCAACAGCCUGUUUCCUCUUCUCCUGCUGGACCACGGCGUUUCUGCCCCCGAGUUGGGACUGUGGAAUGGUGUGGGUGCUGUGGUCUGCUCCAUCGCUGGCUCCUUUCUGGGUGGGACCUUGCUGGCCAAGCACUGGUGAGCCCUCCCCCGUGUACCCUGCCCACCCACCUGUACCCGAGCUGCCCCCAAUCCACUAUACUGACCCAUUUCCCACCCCCACCCCAGGGAACUGCUGCCUCUGUUGAGGUCAGUGCUGCAGUUCCGCCUUGGGAGCCUAGCCUGCCAGACUGCCUUGGUCUUCCACCUGGACACCCUGGGGGCCAGCAUGGACCCUGGCACAAUCUUGAGAGGUGAGGGGCUGGCCUUGAGGAGGAAGAGAGGGGCCAGGAGCCUGGGGCACUGCUGACUUCUGCCCUCCCAGGGUCAGCCUUGCUGAGCCUAU